GGGCGGGUAGCUCAGUUGGGAGAGUGCCGGCCUUACAAGCCGGAGGUCACAGGUUCGAUCCCUGUUCCGCCCACCA
rnacentral:tRNA from 1 species